rnacentral:tRNA from 1 species
GCGUGUACAGCUCAGUGGUAGAGUGUGUGCUUAGCAUGCACAAGGUCCUGGGUUCAAUCCCCAGUACCUCCA